AUUGAACGCUGGCGGCAGGCCUAACACAUGCAAGUCGAGCGGGCGGCGGACGGGUGAGUAAUGCCUGGGAAUUGCCAACUCGAGGGGGAUAACAGUUGGAAACGACUACUAAUACCGCAUACGAUUGGAUUGCCCCGGUGGGGUUAGCGGGUUGGUGAGGGAAUGGCUCACCAAGGCGAGGAUCCCUAGCUGGUCUGAGAGGAUGAUCAGCCACACGGGAACUGAUACACGGUCCAGACUCCUACGGGAGGCAGCAGUGGGGAAUAGUGCACAAUGGGGGAAAGCCUGAUGCAGCCAUGCCGCGUGUAUGAAGAAGGCCUUCGGGUUGUAAAGCACAUGCAGCGAGGAGGCGUUACUCGCAGAAGAAGCACCGGCUAACUCCGUGCCAGCAGCCGCGGUAAUAC
rnacentral:rRNA from 1 species